GUCUACGGCCAUGCUACCCUGAACAAGCUCGAUCCCAUUUGAUUUCAGAAGCUAAGCAGGGUCGGGCCUGGUUAGUACUUGGAUGAGAGACCACCUAGGAAGACGAGGUGCUGUAGGUG
rnacentral:rRNA from 1 species